rnacentral:tRNA from 1 species
GGGACGGUCGCCUAGUGGUCGAGGGCGCUUCACUGCUAACGAGGUAAUUAUUCAUAAUUCGAGGGUUCGAAUCCCUCCCGUCCCG